rnacentral:rRNA from 2 species
AGGAAAAGAAACUAACAAGGAUUCCCCUAGUAACUGCGAGUGAAGCGGGAAAAGCUCAAAUUUAAAAUCUAAUGGUCCUUGGCCAUUCGAGUUGUAAUUUAGAGAAGCGUCUUCCGCGCCAGACCAUGUACAAGUCUCCUGGAACGGAGCNUCAUAGAGGGUGAGAAUCCCGUCUUUGACAUGGACCCUUGGUGCUUCUGUGAUGCGCUCUCAAAGAGUCGAGUUGUUUGGGAAUGCAGCUCAAAAUGGGUGGUGAACUCCAUCUAAGGCUAAAUAUUGGCGAGAGACCGAUAGCGAACAAGUACCGUGAGGGAAAGAUGAAAAGCACUUUGGAAAGAGAGUGAAACAGUACGUGAAAUUGUUGAAAGGGAAACACUUGAAGUCAGUCGCGUCGAUCGAGACUCAGCCUUGGCUUGGCUUGGCGUACUUCUCGACUUGACGGGCCAGCAUCAAUUUCAUCCCUCGGAUAAUGGCAGGGGAAAGGUGGCACCUUCACCGGUGUGUUAUAGUCUCUUGUCGCAUGCGAGGGGUGGGAUUGAGGAACUCAGCACGCACCUCACGGUGUCGGGGCUUCGGCCCACGUUACGUGCUCAGGAUGCCGGCGUAAUGGCUUUAAAUGACCCGUCUUGAAACACGGACCAAGGAGUCUAACAUGCCUGCGAGUGUUCGGGUGGAAAACCCGUGUGCGUAAUGAAAGUAAAAGUUGGGACCUCUGUCGUGGAGGGCACCGACGCCCGGACCAGACCUUCUGUGACGGAUCUGCGGUAGAGCAUGCAUGUUGGGACCCGAAAGAUGGUGAACUAUGCCUGAAUAGGGUGAAGCCAGAGGAAACUCUGGUGGAGGCUCGUAGCGAUUCUGACGUGCAAAUCGAUCGUCAAAUUUGGGUAUAGGGGCGAAAGACUAAUCGAACCAUCUAGUAGCUGGUUCCCGCCGAAGUUUCCCUCAGG